ensembl:snRNA predicted gene, 22491
GUGUUUGUUUCUUCAGCAGUACACAUGCUUAAAUUGGAACAAUACAAAAAAAGAUUAACAUGGUCCCUUUGAAAAAGAAGUCCAUGAAAUAUUUGAUAUUUUUUU